AAUAAGUAGCUAAGGUCUGCAAUUUCCACCCAUACCCAGACAAUGUGUAAACUAACGCUUAUCUUGACUUCUGUGAACCAUUUAAGUAACAAUCAGAAUGUCUGAAGCCCCUCACCUUCACCCCACCCAGGAGGAGGUUUACAGAAUGUCCGAAGUCCACUGGCCCUCGGAAUGUCCAAAGCCCCUCGCCCUUACCCCUGCCCAGGAGGAGGUUUACGGGUAUAAAAGGUCUUGACACCCUCCUUUCGGGGCCACGGGUU